rnacentral:rRNA from 1 species
UUAUUGAACCCACCUGAUGGGUUGUUGCUGGCUCUCUAGGGAGACAGUGCACACCUAAUCAUCCAUAUAUCUCUACCUGUGCACCUUUUGUAGACCCAUCAGGUCUAUGUUGCUUCAUUUACCCCCAAUGUAUGUCAAUAGAAUGUUGUGCCUAUAAAAUCUAUACAACUUUCAGCAACGGAUCUCUUGGCUCUCGCAUCGAUGAAGAACGCAGCGAAAUGCGAUAAGUAAUGUGAAUUGCAGAAUUCAGUGAAUCAUCGAAUCUUUGAACGCACCUUGCGCUCCUUGGUAUUCCGAGGAGCAUGCCUGUUUGAGUGUCAUUAAUAUAUAUAUCAACCUUCUCUUGUUUGAGUGGUUUGGAUGUGAAGGUUUGCUGGCUUCUUAAAAGGGUUCAGCUCCUCUGAAAUGCAUUAGCAGAACAACCUGUUCAUUGGCGUGAUAACUAUCUAUGCUAUUGAAUAUCAGGGGGCAGUUCAGCUUUCUAACAGUCCUUGGACAAUUUAUCAUUUAUGUGACCUCAAAUCAGGUAGGACUACCCGCUGAACUUAAGCAUAUCAAUAAGCGGAGGAAAAGAAACUAACAAGGAUUCCCCUAGUCCCUGCGAGUGAAGCGGGAAAAGCUCAAAUUUCGAAUCUGGCAGUCUUUUGGCUGUCCGAGUUGUAAUCUAGAGAUAUGUUAUCCGCGC